CUCACCAGGAGAGCCAAAUAGUGAAAAGAAUGCCCUAUCCACGGAGGAUGACAGCAGGCUCCCUUAGCCUCAGAGACCCCUCUCAGCCCUGUUUAAGCGGGUCUGUGUUCGAGGCUGUGGUCUUCUGUUUCCGUGAGACUUACGGGGAGCUGCAGCAGCCGCGGAGGCCACGCUUCUGGGCCACGAACCGAGCUCCUCUCUGACGGGCUGUGUGCCUGUGGACCAGUUUCAUUUCCCGGGAUCUCACGCCUCACUAUUAGCGCAUGGAGUUUCCUAAGUGACGUGACUCACUUGGAGGCAUUCCAGGAACAGUGACACAAUUGGAAACUCUUGAUAAGGCUUUGACUGAAUGCCAUGUGUGGAAGAGACAUGCGCAGACUCUGGAUGCCACCAGAAAGCUUUAGGAAAUUAAGACUGACUUUGGAAGCCAAUAAAAGC